rnacentral:ncRNA from 1 species
AAAAUAAUUUUGGUUAUUUGGCUCUGGUAAGUUGUUGGCGUUUUCUAGGUUUACACAUGGUGUUUAUUGAGUGUUGGGAGUUGUCUAGUUGCUGAUGGAUUUUUAAAUAAUAUCUUUAAGUGAUUUAGAAAGUUCGUUUAGCUGGGUUGUUGAAUGUAUGAAAAAAUCCCCGUAUCUCCAGUGUUUAAUAUUAAGGUUUGAAUCGUGGAAACACGGCUUUAGCUAAGAAAAAAAAAGAAGGAAAUAAAGUGCCAGCACCUGCGGUCAAACUUUUUGCUUUAAGUCGGUAUUUUCGUAUAGCGAAAAGUUAGUGAAGUUUGGGUUGAUUUUUGUCUGUUAAAUUGGUAAAAUAUUCAUAGACGAUUGUUCUUAAUCCCUAAAAUUAGUUUUUUUGGAGUCUGAAAAAUGGACCAGGAUUAGAGACCCUGUUACUUAAGAUGUAAAGUUCAAGCUACGGGGACUACGAGCAUAGAUGCUUAAAACCCAAAGAGCUUGGCGGUUUCUCAUACCCAUUUAGGGGAACUUGGCGAUUAAACCGAUAAACCACGAUUUUAUUGUACUCUUUUAUUUCUUAACAUACCGCCGUUGUCAAUCCACCCUGGAAGGAAAUGAUGGGGGUUUAUGUAGUUGGUAUAACUAUUGAAUUCAGGUAGACGUGUUGGUUAAAAAGGAGGUUUAGCUGAGUUACAAUUGAUAGUCAAUACGAAUUUUUUUUUGAAAUAAAAAAAUGAAGGUGUACUUAAAAGUAAGUUUUUUGUGAGUUUUUGGAGCUGAAUUGAGUAAUUGAGUUGUGUACAAAUUGCCCGGCACCCUCGUAUAUUUAAGAUGAGGUAAGUCGUAACAUAGUAAUACUACCAGAAGGUGGUGUUUUAUAAG